GGCCCUUUGGCCCAAUGGUAAGGCGUCUGACUACGACUAAACAUGAAAAACCAUGUUGGCAAGUUAUCAGGAGAUUCUGGGUUCGAGCCCCAGGAGGGUCA
rnacentral:tRNA from 1 species